UGUAUGGGUGGUAAAAUAUAAGAACUAUAGAAGUCCGAGUACAAAAGCAUUCUUUCUGCCAGGAUAGCUGCCUACUCUAAGACAUUGGCAUCACCUCCAUAGACUGAUGACACAGGCACCUCGAUAGGUUGGCUGCUAGGAGGAACUAAUGUAGGUGAAGAUAGUGGUGUCAAGAUCACGCUAUCAACCCACUCCAAGAUGUCAAAAUCAAUGAGCCCACCAUCAUC
rnacentral:lncRNA from 1 species